AUGGCAUCAAACCUCAUACCAAACCUCAGUGACUUCUCCUUUUCACUACUACUGGUUCUAGCCAUGGCGCCAUUUUUAGCCCAAUCCAGUAAGCUCAAAGAAACCCAAUUGGUCCUGUACUUCCAAGACAACGUCUCUGCUGGUCCAAAUGCCACAAGCUUACCAGUUGCAGGUAUUGCGGGCAAGCUUUGGACCUUCACUCAAUUUGGGACAGUUUAUGUCACCGACGACCCAUUAACUGCAGGCCCGGAACCAAACUCUGCCUCCAUAGGCCGGGCCCAAGGCAUAACUGUGGCAGCAGCCCUGAAUGGACGGAAUGCCCUUGUCUUGGUGUCACCUGUGUUCACAAACCAGGAGUAUAACGGCAGCACACUAGAGCUACAAGGAAACAGCAAGCAAUUUGAGCAAGUUAGAGAGGUGGCAGUAGUAUCUGGUACCGGAAAGUUUCGAUUUGCUAGGGGAUACGCUACGUUUGAAACAUAUUUGGUGGACCCUGCCACUUCCUACUCCGUCGAGCGAUGCAACAUCACGGUGCAACAUUACUAG
rnacentral:lncRNA from 1 species